CUGGUUGCGAUGAUUAAAAAAAAAUUCCUCGUACUGAAUAUGCUAUGGCAAUGGCAUGAAAGACUCGUUUACACCCAUAGAAUAUGAGCGCC